UUGCACGCUGGCGGCAGGCCUAACACCUGCAAGUCGAGCGGAUGAAGGGAGCUUGCUCCUGGAUUCAGCGGCGGACGGGUGAGUAAUGCCUAGGAAUCUGCCUGGUAGUGGGGGAUAACGUCCGGAAACGGGCGCUAAUACCGCAUACGUCCUGAGGGAGAAAGUGGGGGAUCUUCGGACCUCACGCUAUCAGAUGAGCCUAGGUCGGAUUAGCUAGUUGGUGGGGUAAAGGCCUACCAAGGCGACGAUCCGUAACUGGUCUGAGAGGAUGAUCAGUCACACUGGAACUGAGACACGGUCCAGACUCCUACGGGAGGCAGCAGUGGGGAAUAUUGGACAAUGGGUGAAAGCCUGAUCCAGCCAUGCCGCGUGUGUGAAGAAGGUCUUCGGAUUGUAAAGCACUUUAAGUUGGGAGGAAGGGCAGUAAGUUAAUACCUUGCUGUUUUGACGUUACCAACAGAAUAAGCACCAGCUAACUUCGUG
rnacentral:rRNA from 1 species